GUAGCUGACAUUUAGCAAAAUAUGAAUUCUUGAACUUUUUAUAUAUUUUAUUUCGAAAUUCAACUAAAUGUGUGUGUUGUCAUGUUUGGCAUCUAUGAAAAUUAUAAAUUGAAACUUCUCAAAAAUAAAGUACUUUACUCACAAAGUAGAUCAGUUACAGAUGUGCGGUGCAAGAUGUAAGACCUUAAAUUAAAGGACAUCAAAGUUAUAUAAAAUGAAACAUAUUUCUUCAAAACCAGUGAGUGGGAAAGAACACCAGUUGUACUUGAAACUCUCGCUUAAGGUAGCACAAUACAAAGAUUUUUCAUCC
rnacentral:lncRNA from 1 species